CCUACCGGGAGGCAGCAGUAGGGAAUCUUCCGCAAUGGACGAAAGUCUGACGGAGCAACGCCGCGUGAGUGAUGAAGGCUUUCGGGUCGUAAAACUCUGUUGUUAGGGAAGAACAAGUGCUAGUUGAAUAAGCUGGCACCUUGACGGUACCUAACCAGAAAGCCACGGCUAACUACGUGCCAGCAGCCGCGGUAAUACGUAGGUGGCAAGCGUUAUCCGGAAUUAUUGGGCGUAAAGCGCGCGCAGGUGGUUUCUUAAGUCUGAUGUGAAAGCCCACGGCUCAACCGUGGAGGGUCAUUGGAAACUGGGAGACUUGAGUGCAGAAGAGGAAAGUGGAAUUCCAUGUGUAGCGGUGAAAUGCGUAGAGAUAUGGAGGAACACCAGUGGCGAAGGCGACUUUCUGGUCUGUAACUGACACUGAGGCGCGAAAGCGUGGGGAGCAAACAGGAUUAGAUACCCUGGUAGUCCACGCCGUAAACGAUGAGUGCUAAGGUGUUAGAGGGUUUCCGCCCUUGAAGCUAAGUUCCUCUGAAGCAUCCGCUGGGAGACGGCGCAGCU
rnacentral:rRNA from 1 species